UAUUUUUCUUGUAGGGUCUUUACCUUACAGUAUAAAGCACCUUGAGGCAACUGCUGCUGUGAUUUGGUGCUGUAUAAAUAAAAUUGAAUUGAACUGAAUUAAAACUUUCUAGGUUGUCUACCCCCCUUUUUGCAUCAUCAGUCACUGUGUGAAAUUGCAAAUGACCAAGAAAUGUGUUUUGGUCUUGUGGCAAAUUGAAACAUUGUGAUCGGUAUGAUAUUCCCUAAAACUAUUGUAAGUUUCUGGGGGGUCUAUUAUUAGGUUUCCUGAAGAAGUCAUUAUCCUGGUGUAACCCAGCUGGAGAAACGGGUAAAAAUAAGAUUAUCUUCAUAAGGUAUUUGUUUAGUUUCAGAAUCAUUCUUUUAUUUGUUUUAUUUUAUUGUCACAAGAAGUGGAAAAAUGUGUUUAUUUCCACACUUCCUGCUGUGCCUAGCAGGAGCUUUUAUUUUGAAGGUUAACAGGAAGUUGUGUGUUUUACAUGGCGUAUUGAUACCAGCCAUUCGAGGAAAAGAAAAAUCCGAAGCUAUCUUGAUUAGCAGCGGAAACUGCCGCGGUUACAGAAGCAAGUCUUCAUAAAAGUUGUCAAAAAGUGUUCAGAUGUUAUCGGCUAACAUUUCAAUAGUGAGCUGAAUGUUAGACAGAGCUGCCGAAACCAGCAGAGGUGGCGGCUAAGUUAAUAGUGUUCCACGUGUCUUCGUAAGCUAACUGUUUUAUGUUCAAUGAUCGUAAUGAUGAUGCUAAUCAUAGUAGUUAAUGCAUAUUUUUCGACUGUAUGUGUCAUGUCAAUGAUGAGCGUUUGUGUUAUGAGGGAACAAAUGCAAUUUGUUAGCUUUUGUGCCGAAUUUAGUGUAACGUAUGUUCUGAAGAAAUUUAAGCUUUAACAUUUGUAUUUUAUUUGUCUAAAAAUUGUGUUGCGUGUGUGUCUAUUGCAACUAUGUUGUUUAGACAGAAGUUCUAACACGAGUUACAAUUUAAUCUGUUAACUGAAGAGUACCACAAUUUUUCAGGAUGUCAGGUCUUUUAGUGAGCUUUGAGCUCCACGAGAAAAGACCAGUGAUUCCAAUUGAUGGCGAGCCUCCCAGUGUGAUUUCCAGGAUCCAGAUCUGCACAACCAGUCAGACGGCCAAAGGUUUAUCUGGUUUCUGGUAGGAUUCCAUCAGUCACCCCGACUGGCAACGGUGAACAGAUAAAAAGAGUGCACUCUAGACUAUAAAAACACUAAGUGUGAAACUUCACUGGACCCCCUUUUUGCUGACUGACAGAUCAUUACAGAUCAUUCCCUCAUUCGAUCUGUGUUUUGACUUGACUGACCCUCUACUCUAUAAACUCUGAGGAACAAACUGAACUAUAAGGUUGCAACCUAACAAAAUACUUUCAAAGGGACAAUUUCAAUGAUUAAGGACAAUGCAUUUUAUUUCUAUUUUUAUUUUAAGGGCCCUAGUUGUUGUUUUGCUGUGAAACUGUUAUUAUUGAAGCUAAAGUCACAGUUAACUGAAAUUUCUGUGUGCUAUGAUUAUUCGCACUCAUGUCCAGCUCCUCCCCGAACCUAGAGUGAGGUGUACUUACCCGGGAGCGGGUUACACUAUUCAUUGCUCUCUCAGACUGUGAUGUCUGGGUUCUCCGUGCCCAUUCACAGCCUUUUCUCCUUGAUCGUAAUAUGAUUUUUUAUUUUUUUUUUUUUGAACCAGAGCGAGCUUUUUCUCUGCUUUGUCAGUGGGUUCCUUGUUAUAUUUUGCUGUCAAAAGAAGUAAGUUAUUUUGAGUAGUUGGGUCUUUAUUUUUAAUAAGCUCAAGUUCCAAGAGUUUAAUCUGUUUUUCUGAAAUUUCCAUUUAAUUUUUUCUCUUUAAAUUUUGGAGCUUGUAAAGCUGAUUAAUUCUCCUCUAAGCUUUAGAUGCCUCCCAGCUUAUGUUGGAGCUAGUUUGGUCAGUAUUUGAUCCAAAAUAGACGUCUGUUCUGGUUUUAACAUAUGUGAUAAAUUCAGCAUCCAUCGUG